AGAAUUGGGAGUCUGGUAGAAAACGUCUCUGCCUCAUCAAAUUCAACACUUCACUUCUUUUAAGUGCUUUACGUCUCGACUAUUUGAGGAAGUGGUGGCUUUACCAGAGUGGUUGGGGAGCAUUACACUCCCUAUAUAAACAUUGCUUUGAUAUUUGAAGUACAAAGAAGUGCUUGGUCAGAAGCGAGAAAGGAGGAAGCACGAUUGUGGCAAUACAGUCAAUGUGUCAAUAUGCAUUUGCAUUUGUAUGCUAAUGGAGUUGAAAGAAAAUGGUAACUCUUUAUUCUGGUAUUGAACUAUCUGAGCAAACUGCCAUCUUUGUUUCAUUUUCAUUAGUGUGGUGAAAGAAAAACAUCUUAAAUUUGUGAGCAAA